UACGUAGGGAGCAAGCGUUGUCCGGAAUCAUUGGGCGUAAAGCGCGCGUAGGUGGCCCAGUAAGUCCGUUCUGAAAGUCACAGGCUCAACCUGUGAAAGCGGAUGGAUACUGCUGGGCUAGAGUCCGGAAGAGGCGAGUGGAAUUCCUGGUGUAGUGGUGGAAUGCGUAGAUAUCGGGAAGAACACCAGUGGCGAAAGCGGCUCUCUGGGGACCACCUGACGCUGAGGCGCGAAAGCGUGGGGAGCGAACCGG
rnacentral:rRNA from 1 species